AGCUUUGCGCAGUGCCAGUAUCGUAGCCAAUGAGGUUUAUCCAAGACGCAAUUAUUGCUAAUUGAAAAAUAGUUGCAGAAUAAUGGAAAACUGGCAGUAUACUCAUGUAUAUAUUAUUUUGCAAUUAUUUAUGAGAUUUAUGAUUU